CUGGAGGUAUCAGAAGUGCGAAUGCUGACAUAAGUAACGAUAAAGCGGGUGAAAAGCCCGCUCGCCGGAAGACCAAGGGUUCCUGUCCAACGUUAAUCGGGGCAGGGUGAGUCGACCCCUAAGGCGAGGCCGAAAGGCGUAGUCGAUGGGAAACGGGUUAAUAUUCCCGUACUUGGUGUUACUGCGAAGGGGGGACGGAGAAGGCUAUGUUGGCCGGGCGACGGUUGUCCCGGUUUAAGCGUGUAGGUGUGUGUUCCAGGUAAAUCCGGUUCACUUUAACACUGAGGCGUGACGACGAGGCACUACGGUGCUGAAGCAACAAAUGCCCUGCUUCCAGGAAAAGCCUCUAAGCAUCAGGUAACAUCAAAUCGUACCCCAAACCGACACAGGUGGUCAGGUAGAGAAUACCAAGGCGCUUGAGAGAACUCGGGUGAAGGAACUAGGCAAAAUGGUGCCGUAACUUCGGGAGAAGGCACGCUGACACGUAGGUGAAGUGAUUUACUCAUGGAGCUGAAGUCAGUCGAAGAUACCAGCUGGCUGCAACUGUUUAUUAAAAACACAGCACUGUGCAAACACGAAAGUGGACGUAUACGGUGUGACGCCUGCCCGGUGCCGGAAGGUUAAUUGAUGGGGUCAGCGCAAGCGAAGCUCCUGAUCGAAGCCCCGGUAAACGGCGGCCGUAACUAUAACGGUCCUAAGGUAGCGAAAUUCCUUGUCGGGUAAGUUCCGACCUGCACGAAUGGCGUAAUGAUGGCCAGGCUGUCUCCACCCGAGACUCAGUGAAAUUGAACUCGCUGUGAAGAUGCAGUGUACCCGCGGCAAGACGGAAAGACCCCGUGAACCUUUACUAUAGCUUGACACUGAACAUUGAGCCUUGAUGUGUAGGAUAGGUGGGAGGCUUUGAAGCGUGGACGCCAGUCUGCGUGGAGCCGACCUUGAAAUACCACCCUUUAAUGUUUGAUGUUCUAACGUGGACCCGUGAUCCGGGUUGCGGACAGUGUCUGGUGGGUAGUUUGACUGGGGCGGUCUCCUCCUAAAGAGUAACGGAGGAGCACGAAGGUUGGCUAAUCCUGGUCGGACAUCAGGAGGUUAGUGCAAUGGCAUAAGCCAGCUUGACUGCGAGCGUGACGGCGCGAGCAGGUGCGAAAGCAGGUCAUAGUGAUCCGGUGGUUCUGAAUGGAAGGGCCAUCGCUCAACGGAUAAAAGGUACUCCGGGGAUAACAGGCUGAUACCGCCCAAGAGUUCAUAUCGACGGCGGUGUUUGGCACCUCGAUGUCGGCUCAUCACAUCCUGGGGCUGAAGUAGGUCCCAAGGGUAUGGCUGUUCGCCAUUUAAAGUGGUACGCGAGCUGGGUUUAGAACGUCGUGAGACAGUUCGGUCCCUAUCUGCCGUGGGCGCUGGAGAACUGAGGGGGGCUGCUCCUAGUACGAGAGGACCGGAGUGGACGCAUCACUGGUGUUCGGGUUGUCAUGCCAAUGGCACUGCCCGGUAGCUAAAUGCGGAAGAGAUAAGUGCUGAAAGCAUCUAAGCACGAAACUUGCCCCGAG
rnacentral:rRNA from 1 species